CCAAGCGGAGGAAAAGAAACCAACCGGGAUUGCCUUAGUAACGGCGAGUGAAGCGGCAAAAGCUCAAAUUUGAAAUCUGGUACCUUCGGUGCCCGAGUUGUAAUUUGUAGAAGGUAACUUUGGGGCUGGUCCUUGUCUAUGUUCCUUGGAACAGGACGUCAUAGAGGGUGAGAAUCCCGUGUGGCGAGGAUCCCAGUUCUUUGUAAAGUGCUUUCGAAGAGUCGAGUUGUUUGGGAAUGCAGCUCUAAGUGGGUGGUAAAUUCCAUCUAAAGCUAAAUAUUGGCGAGAGACCGAUAGCGAACAAGUACAGUGAUGGAAAGAUGAAAAGAACUUUGAAAAGAGAGUGAAAAAGUACGUGAAAUUGUUGAAAGGGAAGGGCAUUUGAUCAGACAUGGUGUUUUGCGCCCUCUGCUCCUUGUGGGUGGGGGAAUCUCGCAGCUCACUGGGCCAGCAUCGGUUUUGGCGGCAGGAUAAAUCUUCAGGAAUGUAGCUUGCCUCGGUAAGUGUUAUAUCCUGGAGGAAUACUGCCAGCUGGGACUGAGGACUGCGACUUUACGUCAAGGAUGCUGGCAUAAUGGUUAUAUGCCGCCCGUCUUAAUU
rnacentral:rRNA from 1 species